CGCACCUACGCCGUGUGCACAACCGCCUGGACCGCCGCGGAUACUACUGGAAUCGGAAGCUAAUACCGCAUAACGUCGCAAGACCAAAGAGGGGGACCUUCGGGCCUCUUGCCAUCGGAUGUGCCCAGAUGGGAUUAGCUAGUAGGUGGGGUAACGGCUCACCUAGGCGACGAUCCCUAGCUGGUCUGAGAGGAUGACCAGCCACACUGGAACUGAGACACGGUCCAGACUCCUACGGGAGGCAGCAGUGGGGAAUAUUGCACAAUGGGCGCAAGCCUGAUGCAGCCAUGCCGCGUGUAUGAAGAAGGCCUUCGGGUUGUAAAGUACUUUCAGCGGGGAGGAAGGGAGUAAAGUUAAUACCUUUGCUCAUUGACGUUACCCGCAGAAGAAGCACCGGCUAACUCCGUGCCAGCAGCCGCGGUAAUACGGAGGGUGCAAGCGUUAAUCGGAAUUACUGGGCGUAAAGCGCACGCAGGCGGUUUGUUAAGUCAGAUGUGAAAUCCCCGGGCUCAACCUGGGAACUGCAUCUGAUACUGGCAAGCUUGAGUCUCGUAGAGGGGGGUAGAAUUCCAGGUGUAGCGGUGAAAUGCGUAGAGAUCUGGAGGAAUACCGGUGGCGAAGGCGGCCCCCUGGACGAAGACUGACGCUCAGGUGCGAAAGCGUGGGGGAGCAAACAGGAUUAGAUACCCUGGUAGUCCACGCCCGUAAACGAUGUCGACUUAGAGGUUGUGCCCUUUGAGGCGUGGCUUCCGGAGGCUAACGCGAUUAAGUCGUACCGCCUGGGGGGAGUACCGGCCCGCAAGGUUAAAAACUCCAAAU
rnacentral:rRNA from 1 species